rnacentral:rRNA from 1 species
AGAGUUUGAUCCUGGCUCAGAGUGAACGCUGGCGGCGUGCUUAACACAUGCAAUCGCACGAGAAAGGGCUUCGGCCUGAGUAAAGUGGCGCACGGGUGAGUAACACGUGAAUACGUCCCUCCGGAUGGGGAAUAACGUUCCGAAAGGAGCGCUAAUACCGCAUAAGACCACCCGCCACAAGACGGUGAGGCCAAAGCAGCAAUGCGUCUGGAGAUCGGUUCGCGUCCCAUAGGUAGUUGGCGGGGUAAUGGCCCACCAAGCCAAAGAUGGGUAGCUGGUCUGAGAGGAUAUCAGCCACAUUGGGACUGAGACACGGCCCAAACUCCUACGGGAGGCAGCAGUGGGGAACUUGCGCAAUGGGCGAAAGCCUGACGCAGCAACGCCGCGUGAGUGAUGAAGGCCCUCGGUCGUAAAGCUCUGUCAGAAGGGAAGAAUAAAUGACGGUACCUUCAAAGGAAGCACCGGCAACUCCGUGCCAGCAGCCGCGGUAA